CCUACGGGGGGCAGCAGUGAGGAAUAUUGGUCAAUGGGCGCUAGUCUGAACCAGCCAAGCAGCGUGAAGGAAGACGGCUCUAUGGGUUGUAAACUUCUUUUAUAAAGGAAUAAACGGAGGUACGCGUGUCUUUCUGAAAGUAUCUUACGAAUAAGGAUUGGCUAACUCCGUGCCAGCAGCCGCGGUAAUACGGAGGAUUCAAGCGUUAUCCGGAUUUAUUGGGUUUAAAGGGUGCGUAGACGGUCUGAUAAGUUAGAGGUGAAAUCUCGAGGCUCAACCUCGGAAUUGCAGUUGAUACUGUCCGGCUAGAGAGUAGUUGCGGUAGGCGGAAUGCAUGGUGUAGCGGUGAAAUGCUUAGAGAUCAUACAGAACACCGAUUGCGAAGGCAGCUUACCAAGCUACCUCUGACGUUGAGGCACGAAAGCGUGGGUAGCAAACAGGAUUAGAUACCCUUGUAGUC
rnacentral:rRNA from 1 species